rnacentral:rRNA from 1 species
CCUACGGGAGGCAGCAGUGGGGAAUCUUGCGCAAUGGGGGCAACCCUGACGCAGCCAUGCCGCGUGAAUGAUGAAGGCCUUAGGGUUGUAAAGUUCUUUUGCCCGUGACGAUGAUGACGGUAACGGGAGAAUAAGCUCCGGCUAACUUCGUGCCAGCAGCCGCGGUAAUACGAAGGGGGCUAGCGUUGUUCGGAAUUACUGGGCGUAAAGCGCGCGCAGGCGGUUCGAUAAGUUAGGGGUGGAAUCCCUGGGCUCAACCCAGGAAUGGCCUUUAAGACUGUCGAGCUAGAGGACGAGAGAGGUGAGUGGAAUUCCCAGUGUAGAGGUGAAAUUCGUAGAUAUUGGGAAGAACACCGGUGGCGAAGGCGGCUCACUGGCUCGUUUCUGACGCUGAGGCGCGAAAGCGUGGGGAGCAAACAGGAUUAGAUACCCUGGUAGUCCACGCCCUAAACGAUGAGUGCCAGGUGUCGGGAAGCUUAGCUUCUCGGCGCCGCAGCUAACGCCUUAAGCACUCCGCCUGGGGAGUACGGCCGCAGGUUAAAACUCAAAGGAAUUGACGG